AUUGAACGCUGGCGGCAGGCCUAACACAUGCAAGUCGAACGAGUGGCGGACGGGUGAGUCAUGUCUGGGACACUGCCCGUUGGAGGGGGAUAACUACUGGAAACGGUAGCUAAUACCGCAUACCAUCGGAUGUGCCUAGAUGGGAUUAGCUAGUGGGUGGGGUAACGGCGCACCUAGGCGACGAUCCCUAGCUGGUCUGAGAGGAUGACCAGCCAAACUGGAACGGAGACACGGCCCAGACUCCUACGGGAGGCAGCAGUGGGGAAUAUUGCACAAUGGGGGCAAGCCGGAUGCAGCAAUGCCGCGUGUAGGAAAAAGGCCUUCGGGUUUGAAAGUACUUUCAGCGAGGAGGCGUUACUCGCAGAAGAAGCACCGGCUAACUCCGUGCCAGCAGCCGCGGUAAUUC
rnacentral:rRNA from 1 species